UACGUAGGGUGCGAGCGUUAAUCGGAAUUACUGGGCGUAAAGCGUGCGCAGGCGGUUUUGUAAGCCAGAUGUGAAAUCCCCGGGCUUAACCUGGGAAUGGCAUUUGGGACUGCAAGGCUUGAGUGCGGCAGAGGAGACUGGAAUUCCUGGUGUAGCAGUGAAAUGCGUAGAGUAUCAGGAGGAAUACCGAUGGCGAAGGCAGGUCUCUGGGCUGACACUGACGCUCAUGCACGAAAGCGUGGGGAGCGAACGGG
rnacentral:rRNA from 1 species